AUGCAAUAAUAGUUCGUGGAACACAUAUGCAAAGGUGAAGGAAAAGGUCAACUUGACUAUCAAGAGACAAAAUCUGAUAU
rnacentral:lncRNA from 1 species